UACGUAGGCAGCGAGCGUUGUUCGGAGUUACUGGGCGUAAAGAGUGCGUAGGCGGUGUUCCAAGUCUGUUGUGAAAUCUCCCGGCUCAACUGGGAGGGUGCGGCGGAAACUGGGACGCUGGAGUACGGGAGAGGUAAGCGGAAUUCCUGGUGUAGCGGUGAAAUGCGUAGAUAUCAGGAGGAACACCUGCGGUGUAGACGGCUUACUGGACCGUAA
rnacentral:rRNA from 1 species